GAGGGUAUAGCUCAGUGGUAAAGUGCGUGAUCAGCAUGCACAAGGUCCUGGGUUCAACCCCCAGUACCUCCA
rnacentral:tRNA from 1 species